UGAUGUGCUGUCGGUCGUGUCUUCAAUAAAUGCAGUUUGAAACAUAAUGUCGCCCACCUUGCCUAUGUGUGAGUAACGGGAGCUCAGGGAUUGAAAAUGGCCACCGUUCGGGGCAGCACAACGGGGGACGUCACGUGAAAACAAUUCACAUACUGUACUAAUCCCAAAUUUAAAGGAAACUAGUAAUAGUCAACUAGUGAAAUGAUAACUGCUUUGAACGUUUUUGUCUUAGCCUGUUUCACUGACUUCUCGUAUUUUCCAUCUGAUUUCAGUCAACGCGCCAGCAGUACCCGAGGAAGUGGUGCACCACACCUGCCAGGAGAGUCCAGUCAGUCGGUACACAUUCGCCAGUGACCCCAGAGGGGAGAGCGUAAUCGUAGACUGCGUGGGGAAUAAUGGAGAUUCCAAGCCUGAAGGCUUUGAAGAUGGUGACAUCUGGUGGACAAAUGUAGCCAUCGCAAGCUCUUGAGAAACACGAUUGCAAGAAAAGUCUUAAAGAUCACUCACUUGACUUUUUUUUUUCCAUUCGUACCAAAUAAUAAUUUAAUCGUCCAAAGAAUGUUGAACCCUAAUAAAAACUGACAGUAGUGAAAUAUGAAAAUCAGAAGUAAAGAAUUUGAAUUUCUGGAGCAUCUUUUGCUUCAAUCCAAUGCAGUGGACAUCUGUUGUGUCCGGCUUGGUAAAUUUGGGGAGAAUACUCAAGACAUACGUGAAGCAAAUGGUCACAAAUACUUAAUAUUUAUCAUUCUUUGCAGAGAAUAAUUCAUUCAUGCUUGAGAGUAUUGUUUGUCUUCCAUCUGCUUGUGUAGUUGUACCGUGGUUCUCCAAAUAUCAGUUUACGCAACUGAUAUUAGAGUUAUAACACCGUGACACUUAUGCUAUUCUUUAGACACUUUGUUUAUUAUUUUGUAAUUAAGAGAUUAAAACAGUUUUGAAUACAAAAUAGAUGGAUCGAUGAUUUUCAAAAGUUGGCUGAUCCAAAUCAUUCUUGUGACACUUUUUUCUUUUCCUCAGACAUGAUUGCGCACACACUUAAGUCUAUAUAUAAGCAUAUAUUGAGAUAUUACAAGCAUUUUUGUGUUACCAAACAACAGUAGUUGGGGAAAACCCAUUAGCCUUGAUUACCUGAUUCCAAAACUAGUUCAUAAAUUUCAUGUGUAAAUAUGAUGAGACGGUUAAAGAUGUUUAUGGUUUCACAGCUAUAACGGCCCUCUGAGGGAAACCGCUAGUACAAUGUGACCCAUGACAAAAUUGAGUUUGACACCCCUGGCAUAAAGGUUUAGACUUGGCUUUAGAGUCCACAAGAUGGUGCCAAAGCACUGCUUCCAAAUGAAGCUCGUCAACUCGCUCGGCACCAAGAUACUUUACGGUGGAGGCUAAGCACUACUUUUGUCCAUCCAUCCAUUUUCUUAGCCGCUUAUCCUCACCAGGGUAGCGGGGAGUACUGGAGCCUAUCCCAGCUGUCAACGGGCAGGAGGCGGGGUACACCCUGAACUGGUUGCCAGCCAAUUGCAGGGCACAUCGAGACAGACAACAGCCGCACUCACAAUCACAACUUGGGGCAAUUUAAAGUGUCCAAUUAACGUUGCAUGUUUUUGGGAUGUGGAGGAAACCGGAGUGCCCAGAGGAAACCCACGCAGGCAAGGGGACAAAUAGUUGUUUUAAAUACUGACCAGUUGAACAUGUUCAGAGAAGGUUAAAUAUAGUUCACCCGUAAAGGUCACGAGUACGUUCAUCCUGAAAUUUCAAGAAAAAGCCAAACGCAAUUUUCCAUCACUUUUUUUUUUCUGCGACUUUUCAGUCCUAACCGAGUGUUUUGUAUUCUUACAGGAGCCGACAUCUGGUUGAUCUUCACGUGGAGGUGAACGGCGCAAUCUUCAAGCACAACAGUGGGCAUUCUGAGGAUCAGUACUACAUAGACCUGAAAGACACUCUGAGAAAAGACCUUUGUUUAUAGUUGUCAGACUACUUGCCUGUUUUAAUAGCUGUCAGUAUUUGCACUUCAAUCUAUCGAACAAUGCAAACAGAUUACUUCAUAUACUACUCUAUUCAGAUAAGCCUUUUUACAUAGAUUUAUCCUGUGUGUUUUAUAUUUACGUGUAUUUUCCUUGCACAGUGCAGCUAAAAACAUUUGUCGAGUUUCAUACAUUUAUUGCUACUCUGUGCACGACAAUGAUUUGCAGUCGUACUUCUACUAUUGUCUUUGUUAAUAAAUGAGAUACACAAUGUAAACACACUGCAUAAGUUAUUUGUGAUGUUCCUGUACUUACCAUGAGCAUAAUGAUGGUUCUUUUUACGUCUUGAGCUCAAAUUAUUAAGAUACCCUCCCUUGAGGACAGUGUAGCAGUUGAAGAGGACAAUAUAAUUGAAGUAAAAAUGGUUCGUAGUGUUUGGAAUGCAAAAAUGAUUACUUUUAUUCAGCUAUUGUCUGAUAAAUGCACCAAUUCGCUUUUUGUUGUAUGUGAAACACCCGAAGAUGGUGCCAAAUCCCAGUCUUGUGGGAAAAGGUGUUUUUGUGGUCUCAAGGAAGUAUACUGAAGUGAUACAUCUCGACUGAGAGACGAGGAUUCCAUAGUGGAGUGGAGCUAAUUUAGCCUGGGUUAUUAGCGAAAGUGGUAGGGUCUUUGUACACACAUGACUCGUGCCUUUUUAAAUCAACUGUCAGCUCGCGAUACAUUGGAACAAAUAUUCCUGGGCAAUCGUGACGUAUAGUUGUGAUGGGGGGGAGGCACGCACAAGAGGACCGCCGUUGACAGUAGGCCGGCUUUCUAGAACGCGGCUUUAUCAUCAUGCGCUCCACGUAUUGGCCACACCUGAACCAAGCGACGUCACACUGGGACUUUUGCUACAUUUUUUAAAAAUAAAGUUCAAAGCUUUAAAUAAAACCCUUGCCCACAGUUAACCUUUAAUCUGUUUUACUCUUUGGGUUAAUAAGGAAUGUGUUUUUAUUCGUGUUGGGUAGAGCAUCUGCAUAUUUUAUUGUAAGGAGGAUAAAAUUAUUAUUUGGUACGAAUGAAAAGAGAGGUUGCCAGGGCUUCAUUUGUCCACUAGAUGUGACCAUCUUCAAAGCCUUCAGGUUUGGAAUCUUUUUCAGCACAAACGUUAGAAAAGCCUCAGUGUUUCAUGAGGCCUCAAUUGCUAACCACUGAGUAUAAGGUACCAUAUUUUCCGCACUAUAAGGCGCACCUUCAACGAAUGGCCUAUUUUAAAACUUUUUUUUCAACUAUAAGGCGCAUAAAAUAGACUCUACAGUAGAAGCUGGGGUGACUAUGCAUCCAUUAGAUGGAGCUGCACUAAAGGCUCAAUAAUGAGCCAUAUAUAAGGCUCACCGGAUUAUAAGGCGCACUGUCGGAUUUGAGAACGUUAAAGGCUUUUAGGUGUACCCUAUCGUGCGGAAAGUACGGUACUGUAGUUCCCAGCCCCAA